rnacentral:rRNA from 1 species
CCUACGGGGGGCUGCAGUGGGGAAUAUUGGACAAUGGGGGCAACCCUGAUCCAGCCAUGCCGCGUGUGUGAAGAAGGCCCUCGGGUUGUAAAGCACUUUCAGUGAGGAAGAACGCCUGGUGGUUAAUACCCAUCAGGAAAGACAUCACUCACAGAAGAAGCACCGGCUAACUCCGUGCCAGCAGCCGCGGUAAUACGGAGGGUGCGAGCGUUAAUCGGAAUUACUGGGCGUAAAGCGCGCGUAGGUGGCUUGAUAAGCCGGUUGUGAAGGCCCCGGGCUCAACCUGGGAACGGCAUCCGGAACUGUCAAGCUAGAGUGCAGGAGAGGAAGGUAGAAUUCCCGGUGUAGCGGUGAAAUGCGUAGAGAUCGGGAGGAAUACCAGUGGCGAAGGCGGCCUUCUGGACUGACACUGACACUGAGGUGCGAAAGCGUGGGUAGCAAACAGGAUUAGAUACCCCUGUAGUC